ACAAACACUCAGAUCAUUCAUGAUGAUUGAGUUUAUCACAUAAUAAAUUAGAUGGCUAUAAAAAUGGCCCUGCUCUUCUGGCGUUUAAAUAUUUGUUUUAAGCUAUAAACACACGUCCAGAGUUCGCUGGAAUCGUGCAUUUAUUGAAUGUGUUUUUUUAUGUGACAGCACGGUGCCUUCAGCAGAUAUAAGCUCUGACAGCGACGGACUGAAGCAGAAGCAGCAGUUUGUGUCCUUUUGACGGUGAAGCAACAACGUCUCCACAGUUCGACCUGCAGCCGUGAAUCCAUUUCAGCAUAAACCUGACAAUGAAGCUGGUUUCAGUCCUCGUCCUCCUCUUGGCUCCGGUGUUGACCAGCAGCUACAAGCUCAUCCUCCCGGUCGACUGCAGCGACAUCUAUAAUCACGACAAAAGCCGAUCCAGCGGAGUGUACACCAUCUAUCCCAUCGGAGCCACGUCUGCUGUCCAGGUUUACUGCGACAUGAGCUCAUUCGGAGGAAGGUGGACG